UGAGAUUGAAGAGCGUAGCAGCAAUGACCUUUCUUCUGGAAAUUGACAUUUGGAUAAAGUGAGUUCGCCACCAAAUCCAAUUCCCAUCCCGAUCUCUUCAUGUGAUGGAUCAGUAGUUUGGUGAAUCUUCUAGCUUCCUUCCACGAUUCCUUCAGAACGGCUUCGAACACCGAUAGUUGCAGAAACAACGAAUCUCUGUUGGUGGAUGGAGGAAUGUCUUUUAAUCUGGUAUCCAAUGUGGAAUUGUACUUCUCCAUCUCCUUUAGAUCUCGUUUCAGAACUUCUACCCUUGCUUCCUUGUCGUCGAUGUCAGAUUGGAGACGGUUGAACACGGUUUCAAGCAUUCUCAAAAUGCUCUGGUUCUCCUGAACCUGCGAUUCUGACUCUGACAGCAAUAAUGGCACAUUGGAGUUAGAUUUCGUGUAGGCUCCUUUUAGGUCAGAUAAGCGACGGAGGUGGGAAACGGCAGUACGGUCGGCGGAUUGGAUACCGUCUAGGUUAAAUGGCUCCUGGAAUGAUUGGAGCUGGAGAUACGCCGCAUGGAAGGAGGAGAUGGUUGUGAAAAUAGACGAAACUAGGGUAUUCCUAAAAAUAUAGUGGUGUGAUUUAGCAGCUGAGGUUGGAAGAGAAAAAUGAUGAGAUUCAGGUUUGUUGACAGGUUCAUCAGGUUUUAGAACGACAACACGUUGACCGGUGAUAAUCUCGCCGACGACGGAUGUGAGAACUCUGACGGUCUCUUCUACAACUCCAUUUUCCACACCCUCUUCUCCUCCUUCCUCUUCGUCUUCGUCUUCCUCCUCCUCUUCUGCAAAGAAUUCGACGGUUUUGGUCUUGACUGCAAGUGCAAACUUCUGAAGCAUCUCGAGAUCUCUGCUUUACUUUCUCUCUCCGUCUAUAUAUUAAAUAUAUUAUGCAAAUAAAUCUUCCUGAUUCUCACAAUCUCACAGGACUAACAGGAGAUAGAAAAAGCUGGACGGGCAUUGGGAUGGGAAGAAACAGAGGAAGGAGUGAUCUGUUCUGAACUUCGCUAGGGUUUUUGCUCUCUAUAUCCGAUCAAAGACGGUGGUUGCGAAAUGGGCAGGAGAGAUUUGAAACAGCUGUCUCAAUCCGUAAAAGAAAUCAGAAUUGGGUCGGUCGGUGAGACACUCUCCUUUCUCUCUCUCUCUUCCUUCUGUAAAAAAAAUAAAAGAAGUUUUUUGUCCCUUUUUUAACCCCUCUUUUGAAUCUUCUUUGCUUCCAUUAGGAACAUCGGCAAAGAAUAACCCCAGAUUGAAGCAAACAGCCCAUGUUUUCAGAAUGAUUACCAUUUACUACGUUUGAAGUGUAAUUACAGCCAUGGACCAGUAAGGUAAUAAGUGAAGGUAUCUUUCUAUUGACAUCUUAUGAUCUUAAUGAAAAUUAUAUACACAUCGGAUUAGAACUAAUUGAUUGUAAUUACGAUGAUAAUUACUAAAUACCUUAAAUUGUCAACGUUGAAUCGUUGAUGUUAAAUCAUCUUCAUCCUGGUUGCAAUUUGCACCAGGUGUGUAUAAAUAGUAUCCUAAUUAUUAUUAAAUGAGUCGUCAGUCAUGAAUACAUUUAUUGUAUUCAAUACAAUUGAUGGUAAAAUACUGUAUAGUGUAUGACCACAAAGCUGAAAGCGUGCAUCAGGCGAAGGGAAGUACCAGGAUUAUUAUUAAAAAAAAGGAGGUACCAGAUAUUAAAUACAGUGGUGUACUUUUUUUCUAUUUUGAAUUUAAUAAGGGUUUCCUAAAUCACUCUCACUGAUUUUCUUGAUGAUCUUGUGAUAGUCUUUAACGAGGAUUAAUUGAUGCAGAGGAGUUUGAAAACAAAAACAAUCUGUUAUAGAACUUGUAGAAAUUUCUAUAUAUUUUUUUAAUCUCUAAACUAACAGAUAAACUGAUCUUUUUUAAUCUCUAAUUUAUUUUUAAAACCUUUAUACAUGUACAAUACCAGAUUACAAUUUACAAGAUGAUAACUUAUGAGACGAAUGU
rnacentral:lncRNA from 1 species